CUUCAGAAAAAAUAAAAUGAGCUGUUCUGGGAAACUGGUGUGUAGAGCUGCAGUGAACUCUUGCUGCCACUCCAAUGCACACUCAACUUCUGUAUUUUUGACACAGCAGUUUCAGAAAAAGGUAAAGCAUAAUCUAAAAAAUGUCUUUAAUUCCCACAAAGAAUGUUCUAGGAUUUGGAGAAGCUUCCUUACUAGUUGAGCUAAUUGAGUUGCAAGUCUAAGACAGGAAAUUUUUGGGUUUAAUUCCUAAAUCUGCCUGAGUAAUCCAGGGUAAAAAUUCUGCCUUGUUUUAAUAUAUCUGAUCCUUAUGUGUUUGAUAUGCUAAUUGCUGCUAGAUUUUGUAUUUGUUUAUUAGAGCAACCUUCCACUGCACAUUUCCAUGGAAUCUUUUCUCAACAUUAUUUAAUAAUCCUUGAUUUCAGCAUUAUAUGAUUUGUCUGAAACUGUGUCCUCAUUUUUAUCACAUUCCUUACUGUAUUUCUCAAGCUAAAAAGAACUCCACCAAUUUAUUCUGAGAAACUUUCAGGUGCUGGGCUUUAGCUUCUCACAGGAAUAGACACAAGGUUGGGAUUAAAAGCAACAGAACCCCCAAAGUCAUUGACAGAGCUGUUAUAUGUGAAACUGAAUUUCAUGAGGUGUUGGUAGACUUGAGAUAUCUCAGUAAAGCACAUUGUUCUGAUAUCUUUUUAAGGUAGAAUUCCUCAAAUUUACUCAUUCAAGCCAGCAUUUCUCAAUGUUUAUGAAGGGAUAUGUCUAGUAAAAAGGUCCCAAGAGCAGCCAUUAUGUUCAUUUUGUAAAAUUCUCUGUGUUCUUUGAGAUUAUGUAUGUGCUAUUCCUUUCCAAUUAUAUUGUAUAAUUGUAUUCAAAAGCAAGGUGUCUUCUAACUUUAAAUGGGUUUAAUCAUAGCCUUGAAAGUUGUGUUGUUUCGUUUUUAAUUAGAUAAUGUUAAAAGUCAAUAAUCAAGGUAUAUUAAGAGGAUAUAUAGGUCCUCAACCCAAAUAAAGGGAACAGCUGUG
rnacentral:lncRNA from 1 species